rnacentral:rRNA from 1 species
UACGUAGGGUGCAAGCGUUGUCCGGAAUUAUUGGGCGUAAAGAGCUCGUAGGCGGUCUGUCGCGUCGGCUGUGAAAACCCGGAGCUCAACUCCGGGCCUGCAGUCGAUACGGGCAGACUGGAGUUCGGCAGGGGAGACUGGAAUUCCUGGUGUAGCGGUGAAAUGCGCAGAUAUCAGGAGGAACACCGGUGGCGAAGGCGGGUCUCUGGGCCGAUACUGACGCUGAGGAGCGGAAGCGUGGGGAGCGAACAGG